rnacentral:rRNA from 1 species
AAACUCAAAGGAAUUGACGGGGACCCGCACAAGCGGUGGAGCAUGUGGUUUAAUUCGAUGCAACGCGAAGAACCUUACCUGGUCUUGACAUACACGGAACUUUCCAGAGAUGGAUUGGUGCCUUCGGGAACCGUGAUACAGGUGCUGCAUGGCUGUCGUCAGCUCGUGUCGUGAGAUGUUGGGUUAAGUCCCGUAACGAGCGCAACCCUUAUCCUUAUUUGCCAGCACAUCAUGGUGGGAACUAUAAGGAGACUGCCGGUGAUAAACCGGAGGAAGGCGGGGACGACGUCAAGUCAUCAUGGCCCUUACGACCAGGGCUACACACGUGCUACAAUGGGAAGGACAAAGGGUUGCUAAGCCGCGAGGUGGUGCUAAUCUCAUAAAUCUUUUCGUAGUCCGGAUCGGAGUCUGCAACUCGACUCCGUGAAGUCGGAAUCGCUAGUAAUCGUGGAUCAGAAUGCCACGGUGAAUACGUUCCCGGGUCUUGUACACACCGCCCGUCAUACCAUGGGAGUGGGUUGCAAAAGAAGUGGGUAGCUUAUCUGGGCGCUCACCACUUUGUGAUUCAUGACUGGGGUAAAGUCGUAACAAGGUA